AGACCCGAAACCCGGUGAUCUAGCCAUGGGCAGGUUGAAGGUUGGGUAACACUAACUGGAGGACCGAACCGACUAAUGUUGAAAAAUUAGCGGAUGACCUGUGGCUGGGGGUGAAAGGCCAAUCAAACCGGGAGAUAGCUGGUUCUCCCCGAAAGCUAUUUAGGUAGCGCCUCGUGAAUUCAUCUCCGGGGGUAGAGCACUGUUUCGGCUAGGGGGCCAUCCCGGCUUACCAACCCGAUGCAAACUGCGAAUACCGGAGAAUGUUAUCACGGGAGACACACGGCGGGUGCUAACGUCCGUCGUGAAGAGGGAAACAACCCAGACCGCCAGCUAAGGUCCCAAAGUCAUGGUUAAGUGGGAAACGAUGUGGGAAGGCCCAGACAGCCAGGAUGUUGGCUUAGAAGCAGCCAUCAUUUAAAGAAAGCGUAAUAGCUCACUGGUCGAGUCGGCCUGCGCGGAAGAUGUAACGGGGCUAAACCAUGCACCGAAGCUGCGGCAGCGAACGUAUCACUUAAAGCGAUUCAGCGGGUUACGAUUGACGGAGCGAAGCGACGUCAAAGCGUAUACAAAGUCGAGUCGGUUUAAGGAUACGUUCGUUGGGUAGGGGAGCGUUCUGUAAGCCUGUGAAGGUGUGUCGUGAGGCAUGCUGGAGGUAUCAGAAGUGCGAAUGCUGACAUAAGUAACGAUAAAGCGGGUGAAAAGCCCGCUCGCCGGAAGACCAAGGGUUCCUGUCCAACGUUAAUCGGGGCAGGGUGAGUCGACCCCUAAGGCGAGGCCGAAAGGCGUAGUCGAUGGGAAACGGGUUAAUAUUCCCGUACUUGGUGUUACUGCGAAGGGGGGACGGAGAAGGCUAUGUUGGCCGGGCGACGGUUGUCCCGGUUUAAGCGUGUAGGCUGGUUUUCCAGGCAAA
rnacentral:rRNA from 1 species